UGUCCAAUCGCUGAAAC
rnacentral:piRNA from 1 species